rnacentral:tRNA from 1 species
GGUGAUAUAGCUCAGUUGGUAGAGUACCUGCCUCGCAUGCACAAGGUCCUGGGUUCAAUCCCCAGCAACACAC